UACGGAGGGGACUAGCGUUGUUCGGAAUUACUGGGCGUAAAGCGCACGUAGGCGGAUUUGUAAGUCAGGGGUGAAAUCCCGGGGCUCAACCUCGGAACUGCCUUUGAUACUGCAAAUCUCGAGUCCGGAAGAGGUGAGUGGAAUUCCUAGUGUAGAGGUGAAAUUCGUUAGAUAUUAGGAAGAACACCAGUGGCGAAGGCGGCUCACUGGUCCGGUACUGACGCUGAGGUGCGAAAGCGUGGGGAGCAAACAGGG
rnacentral:rRNA from 1 species